GGGUAUAUAGCUCAGUGGUAGAGUGCUUGCUUAGCAUGCAUGAGGUCCUGGGUUCAAUCCCCAGUACCUUCA
rnacentral:tRNA from 1 species